UUAAGGUCUUUAUUAUUGACUGAAAAAAACCUUUUUUCUUUAUUACUGUAGAAUAAGAUAGUGAAUAGGCUGAAAAGAGAAUGCUGCACACCUACUGCAUCAUGAUCUCAUUCUCAACAUGAUUGCCUCGGUGCUUGCCAGUUCCAACGUUCAUGAGUCACACUCCAGUAUGUGAUUUGCUUAAAAGCAAUAAAUGUCAGCACUUUUAUUUACGAUCUGCCUUUGAAGAUUUGGAAGACAUAACUUCAACACAUUUUUUUUCUAGGACCGUGAAGGCUAGGAACUGGCUUUACCUUUCUCUUUUAAAUGAAAGAUGAAAGCUUUGAUUGAUGUGUUGCUCAGUCCAACCUAGCUGCAGUGGGUUAGAUGUGGAACUACCCAAACCCAUUUCUUCCUCCACCCUGUGAGAAAUUACCGUUCUGGUAGGUGGGGUGGCAGAAAUGGCUUUUCUGGCUCUUGCUCAAGAUGAGCUGCAGUUGUGGGGGUCGCUAGACUUGUGUCACGUCCGACUGGAGCGGCUGAGCCCUGAGCCGGAGCGGGAGCGCAGUGCCGGGAGCUGGGAGCCUCCAGCAGAGAGCCGGGGGUGCUGGGAGCGCCUGGGCUCCGCACCUGUACUGGGAGCCCUCCUCUCACCUGCUGCCAGGGCUGAGCCAACCUCCCGUGCUGGAAUUUCGGGAAGGGGUCAUAUGUGACCCUCUCUAGGGGAGGGAGAGAAGUGGGGAAGGUGAAAGACCCGACAAAUGAUCCAUAUGGGACUUGAAUUUUUGCUGUGGGAAUGUGAAAAACACGGGAAGCUGCUCUCUGCCAAGUUAUUUCCCCAAGGAUCUGCUUUACAUUCUGACAAUCAAUGACCUGUCAGGUGUAGUUAUGCACCACAGCAAUGAUAUGAGGUCAAUCAGAUGAAAGCAAGAUAUUUUGAAAUCAUCUGUUGAUUUUCUGUGCUGCAAGACCAGCAUGUGAAUCCUGCCAGCAACUGUACUCCAUGUUUCAAAAGCAUGUAAAAACAUUACAGUUCUUCAAACAGGAGAAGCAGAGGUCUGGAUCCAGGGUGGAGUACUGGACAAAGAACACAAAGCAGCAAGGAAGUACCAGAUCCAGUUGCCUUCUCCUUCCUGCCGCCCCAGAGCCUUGCUGUAGUGGCAGUUUGGGGUGCUCCAAACCAGCUGGCAAAGAAAAGCAUCCAUGUGACAUCUGGACAGAGUGGCAGAGGGGAGGUGGAGGCUGGAGACGACCCCUCUCCAGGGGAGCUGUUUUUGGGCAAGCUGCAGCCUGCCCCUAG
rnacentral:lncRNA from 1 species